UCGGGAAUUUUGGGCAAUGGGCGAAAGCCUGACCCAGCAACGCCGCGUGAAGGAUGAAGUAUUUCGGUAUGUAAACUUCGAAAGAAUAGGAAGAAUAAAUGACGGUACUAUUUAUAAGCUCCGGCUAACUACGUGCCAGCAGCCGCGGUAAUACGUAGGGAGCAAGCGUUGUUCGGAUUUACUGGGCGUAAAGGGCGCGUAGGCGGCGCGGGUAAGUCACUUGUGAAAUCUCUGAGCUUAACUCAGAACGGCCAAGUGAUACUGCAGUGCUAGAGUGCAGAAGGGGCAAUCGGAAUUCUUGGUGUAGCGGUGAAAUGCGUAGAUAUCAAGAGGAACACCUGAGGUGAAGACGGGUUGCUGGGCUGACACUGACGCUGAGGCGCGAAAGCUAGGGGAGCAAACAGGAUUAGAUACCCCGGUAGUCCCUGAGCGGGCUGGCAAGGCGCAU
rnacentral:rRNA from 1 species